rnacentral:misc_RNA from 1 species
GAUGAAGAACGUAGCGAAAUGCGACAAGUAAUGUGAAUUGCAGAAUUCCGUGAAUCAUCGAAUCUUUGAACGCACAUUGCGCCCCCUGGCAUUCCGGGGGGCAUGCCUGUUCGAGCGUCAUUACAACCCUCAAGCUCUGCUUGGUAUUGGGCUCUGCCGGUCCCGGCAGGCCUUAAAAUCAGUGGCGGCGCCACUCGGCUUCAAGCGUAGUAAUUCUUCUCGCUUCGGAGACCCGGGUGCGUGCUAGCCAGCAACCCCCAACUUUCUCAGGUUGACCUCGGAUCAGGUAGGGAUACCCGCUGAACUUAAGCAUAUCAAUAAGCGGAGGA